UCCGAGUUGACCCCGGCAGUCUCCCACGAGUCCCCGCCAUAACGCGCUGGCAACGUAGGAUAAGGGUUGCGCUCGUUGCGGGACUUAACCCAACAUCUCACGACACGAGCUGACGACAGCCAUGCACCACCUGUACACCAGCAAAAGGGCCCCCAUCUCUGGGGUUUCCGGUGUAUGUCAAACCCAGGUAAGGUUCUUCGCGUUGCAUCGAAUUAAUCCGCAUGCUCCGCCGCUUGUGCGGGUCCCCGUCAAUUCCUUUGUGUUUUACCGUUGCCGGCGUACUCCCCAGGCGGAGAACUUAACGCGUUAGCUGCGACACCGAGAGGCAACCCUCCCAACAUCUAGUUCUCAUCGUUUACGGCGUGGACUAC
rnacentral:misc_RNA from 1 species